GGGGAUGUAGCUCAGUGGUAGAGCGCUCGCUUCGCAUUCCUGGCCGAGAGGGCCUGGGAACGAGUCUGCGAGAGGCCCGGGGUUCGACUCCCCGUAUCUCCA